rnacentral:rRNA from 1 species
CCUACGGGAGGCAGCAGUAGGGAAUUGUUCGCAAUGGGCGCAAGCCUGACGACGCAACGCCGCGUGGAGGAUGAAGACCUUCGGGUCGUAAACUCCUUUCGACCGAGAUGAAUACCCACCGACCCAACACGUCGGUGGGCUGACAGUAUCGAGGGAAGAAGCCCCGGCUAACUCCGUGCCAGCAGCCGCGGUAAUACGGGGGGGGCAAGCGUUGUUCGGAAUUACUGGGCGUAAAGGGUUCGUAGGUGGCCUGCUAAGUCACACGUGAAAUCCCUCAGCUUAACUGGGGAACUGCGUGUGAGACUGGCGGGCUUGAGUGCAGGAGAGGAACGCGGAAUUCCAGGUGUAGCGGUGAAAUGCGUAGAUAUCUGGAGGAACACCGGUGGCGAAGGCGGCGUUCUGGACUGCUACUGACACUGAGGAACGAAAGCCAGGGGAGC